ACUAACGUUAACUGUUUGUGUGUCACAUCUUGGUGAAGACGGCGGAGUAAAACGCGACAGUGUUUAGUUUCUUAAGAAGAAAGAAAGGUCCCAAACUGCUGGAUGUGGUUUUAAAAGCUGAAACAAAGCUACACAGAACAGGUCGCAGAGCCGCGAGGAACUUUAAUAUGAAGUCUGAGAGGAAGCUGUCAGCGGACCAGGGGACAGCUUUACCUCAAAAUGUUCUGGAAGUGAUUGUUGGUGAAGAGGAGCAGCAGGAGUGUAGCUCCAGUGUGGACCAGCAGGAGCCAGAGCCCCCUCCACACAUUAAAGAGGAACAGGAGGAACUGUGGAUCAGUCAG